rnacentral:rRNA from 1 species
UACGUAGGGUGCAAGCGUUGUCCGGAAUUAUUGGGCGUAAAGGGCUCGUAGGCGGUUUGUCGCGUCGGGAGUGAAAACCUUGGGCUUAACUCAGGGCUUGCUUUCGAUACGGGCAGACUAGAGGUAUGCAGGGGAGAACGGAAUUCCUGGUGUAGCGGUGAAAUGCGCAGAUAUCAGGAGGAACACCGGUGGCGAAGGCGGUUCUCUGGGCAUGAUCUGACGCUGAGGUGCGAAAGCGUGGGGAGCAAACAGG